GAUGUAUUGCAGUUUUUCGAACUUCUGGGUAGGCUUCAUUGUUCAGAUUAGAAUGUUGCCACUUGGGUGGGAAUCCUCUGGGGAAGUCCAAACAAAUAGCUCAAAAACUGUCAGCUGUCCGGUGUUUGUGAUUAGCCCAAUUAUGGCAAGAUGGUCCAAAAACGUAACCUAUCUACCAGCCUUGACACGCCAAGAAAUCGAAACAUGGACAGAUGAACAGGUCAGCACCCCUAAAUGAAUUAAGAAAAAAAGGAUACACAGCAACUGGAUUGAACGUUAUAUCCACGAUGUUAAAGGUUGAAUUGAUCAGCGGAUUCAACAAACCAGCUGUGCCAGUGAAGCAGGUCUCGGGCACUGCUCACACCUUGUUGGCCUCCUGUAUACUCUUGCUCAUUACUCUAAAUUAGGAUACAAAUCAGUCCCCCUAACCAAAUGUAAAACCUCCUUACCCCAAACUUGGCACGUGGGUGGAUGACAAAUAAGCUUGAAAAAAGGAAUAAAAAAAAAACUUCAAAUAUCAUCCCUAAAAAGUGUUUAUAUGUGUUGCUGUAUCUCUAAACUUGACUAAUAUAA